UGUCGGUCUCCUGCAGCUCUGUGUCUCUGGCUCUGUCCAAUGGUUUUUGCAGAAAGAAGGGCGCUUGAAGUUUGCUUGGUCCGAGGCCUUAGGUGCUACGGCCGGCCGCGGGGACCAGUGGAGGACUUGGGCAGAGAGGGUCUCUCGCUGAACCUGGAGCUCACUGACUGGCUCGACUGACCGGCAAGCCAUGGAGAUCCAUCCCCCUAUCUCAGAUUUCCCACUGUUGUGAUUACAGGUUGUCUGACCUCA